rnacentral:lncRNA from 1 species
GAUGACAAAUAAAGAAGGAACAAUGGUCAUGCCAAAAAGAGCUGCAGCCACAUGCUGUCUAUUUGCUGCAUAAACUGCGCCUGAUGCGUGCCCAAGGACAAGGCCAUUUUAAGAAGUUCAUCAUUUGAAACAUAGUAGAGGCUACAGCUGUCAGGGAUUAUUUCUGGAGUGUCUUUGAUGUCUAUGCGCUUCCCAAGAUGUAUGUAAAACUGCGUUACUGUGUGAGUGGUGCCACCCAUAGCAAGGUAGACAGGAAUUGUUCUUAUGAAGCUGGGAAUGACUAAACACCCAUUUUUAGGCCUCCGGGUGCUGCCCUACAACCACUACCAAGCCU